AUUGAACGCUGGCGGCAGGCCUAACACAUGCAAGUCGAACGAGUGGCGGACGGGUGAGUAAUGUCUGGGAAACUGCCUGAUGGAGGGGGAUAACUACUGGAAACGGUAGCUAAUACCGCAUACCAUCAGAUGUGCCCAGAUGGGAUUAGCUUGUUGGUGGGGUAACUGCUCACCAAGGAGACGAUCCCUAGCUGGUCUGAGAGGAUGACCGGCCACACUGGAACUUAUACUCGGUCCAGCCUCCUACGUGAGGCAGCAGUUGGGAAUAUUGCCCAAUUGGCGCAAGCCUGAUGCAGCCAUGCCGCGUGUAUGAAGAAGGCUUUCGGGUUGUAAAGUCCUUUCAUCGGGGAGGCGUUACCCGCAGAAGAAUCACCGGCUAACUCCGUGCCAGCAGCCGCGGUAAUAC
rnacentral:rRNA from 1 species